UUGGAGAUUUAUCCCUUGUGGAGUUUUCCCCACGAGCUGAGGUGUUAGGAGACAGGUGAGAAAGCCCUUGCCUCUCACAGCACAGCAAUGGAGGAAUGUCCCGGUGAAUUGCUAAAUAUUCAUGAGGAGUGGGUAUGAAAUUCCUCUGAGCAAACGGAGAUGGCAUCAGCAGGCAUUGCGGGGAGCUGCUUCAGGCAGGAGGUGUGGGGAGCUGUGGGGCUGAGGGCCUGGCUGUUCUGCCCUGCCCAGGAGCACCAUCCCAGCACACUGCAGUCCUGGACCUGCAAUUUUUCUAGUCUUUCCUUAACUGGUGUUAUAUAUAAUUCCUCCAUUUUAAUGGCAAAGAAGUCACAUUUAGUUGGACCGAACUGAAGAGCUCAACACUUUGGUUCUCCUUGUAGUUUUUUGUCUGUCAUUGGUUUUGUUGCAGUGGUGUAACACAGAAGGACGGCUGCCUACAAACCUGCUUUAUUAGGAGGAAAAUAAAUGCUGAUUCCUUUCUCCUCUGGAUAGAAGGGAUGCGUGUGGGCUGUGGAAGAUGCCAGCUGGGUCUGGGCCUGUUGUCUUGCUCCUGUCUCACCUCCCAGCACCACGAUGGGAGUCUGGAGGCACGGAUGGUGACUGCGAGUUCUCUGUGCCCCUGUGGCUGCCAGGGGGCUCCUGGCUUUCCUCUGGCUUUGCACCCGUGGUUUUGCACAACUUAAACUUCCACGGCUUCUGGAGUACUGCUUCAUUUUGUGGGUUUCUUGUCUUGCUCUAUGAUGUCCUGUAAAGUUCUGUCAUCAGUAAUUCCUGAGGAGCCUGCAGAGUUCCCUGUUUGACAAACUGUUCCCAAGUAUAUCUGGUGAGUGCUUUUCCCUUCCUUAGUUUUCCCAGUAUCACACUAACUCUUGGCAGACUUUUGAAAUGCCUUUAAUUUUUAUCUGUAAUUUCUCAUAAAAACAUUCCUGCAUUGAUUUUUUUUUUUAAAGCCAUUCUGCCAGAGAUGUGGACUCCUCUGUAUUUAAUGAAUUGUGAGGUAAUGAACGACAUACUUCUCUAUCGAACCUUCUUUCUUGAUUUAAGUUUGAAAUUA